rfam:Salmo salar isolate Sally breed double haploid chromosome ssa09, whole genome shotgun sequence.
AAUGCACCAAUUUGUAAGUCGCUCUGGAUAAGAGCGUCUGCUAAAUGACUGAAA